rnacentral:rRNA from 1 species
GACGAACGCUGGCGGCGUGCUUAACACAUGCAAGUCGUACGGUAAGGCCCUUUCGGGGGUCCACGAGUGGCGAACGGGUGAGUAACACGUGAGUAACCUGCCCACAACUUUGGGAUAACGCUAGGAAACUGGUGCUAAUACUGGAUAUGUGCUCCUGCUGCAUGGUGGGGGUUGGGAAGCUCCGGCGGUUGUGGAUGGACUCGCGGCCUAUCAGCUUGUUGGUGGGGUAGUGGCCUACCAAGGCGGCGACGGGUAGCCGGCCUGAGAGGGUGACCGGCCACAUUGGGACUGAGAUACGGCCCAGACUCCUACGGGAGGCAGCAGGGGGGAAUAUUGCACAAUGGGCGCGAGCCUGAUGCAGCAACGCCGCGUGCGGGAUGACGGCCUUCGGGUUGUAAACCGCUUUCAGCAGGGACGAAGCUUUUUGUGACGGUACCUGCAGAAGAAGCACCGGCUAACUACGUG